rnacentral:rRNA from 1 species
UGGGGAAUAUUGGACAAUGGGCGCAAGCCUGAUCCAGCAAUACCGCGUGAGUGAAGAAGGCCUUAGGGUUGUAAACUCUUUCGCUAGGGAAGAUAAUGACGGUACCUAGUAAAGAAGUCCCGGCUAACUCCGUGCCAGCAGCCGCGGUAAUACGGAGGGGACUAGCGUUGUUCGGAAUUACUGGGCGUAAAGAGCUCGUAGGCUGAUAAGCAAGUUAGAGGUGAAAUCCUGGGGCUUAACCCCAGAACUGCCUUUAAAACUGCUUGUCUAGAGACCGGAAGAGGUAAGGGGAAUACCUAGUGUAGAGGUGAAAUUCGUAGAUAUUAGGUGGAACACCAGUGGCGAAGGCG